UCAAAAGAAAUUAGAAAGAAA
rnacentral:piRNA from 1 species